GGGGCCGUGGCUCAGCGGGAGAGCCUCUGCCUGCCAUGCAGAAGGCCCCAGGUUCAAUCCCCGGCGGCAUCU